rnacentral:sRNA from 1 species
AGACAUUUUGGGAGCUCACUGACUUCAAAUUCCAUAGGAACUUCGAAGUUAAGCGAGAUCGCGUGAGACCAAUCCCAGGAUGGGUGGCCCACUAGGAAGUUCUCGUGUGAAUUCCUAGAAACAAAACCGUGAGGGCGUGGUCGGGGCCCAAAGCGGACAAUAUCGUGCUAUGGCGGAGUUGCGAUUGGGAUGUGACAGAAUGGUAUCAGAGCCACUCUGUUGUGUGGUGCGAGUGACAGAAUGAUAUCAGAGCCACUCUGCUGUGUGGUGCGAGUGUGUCGAUGAGGACGUCGGGUCCCUAAGAGGGGUGGAUUGUAACAUCCCGCAUCGACCAACGGAGAAUGGGUGAUGUGCCUUAUAUGUACAUGCCCACCUCCAUAUAGUACGAGGCUUUUUGGGAGCUCACUGACUUCGGAUUCCAUAGGAACUCCGAAGUUAAGCGAGAUCGAGCGAGAGCAAUCCCAUGAUGGGUGACUCACUGGGAAGUUCUCAUGUGAGUUCUC